AGUAAUAAUAAAGCUUCGUGAAAGUAAUAAUCGUUUAUAACCGAGACCGUCACUGGGUGGUGCUUUUUCAACGCACGUUUUUACUUAUAAUCUUAAAAAUUACAACAGAAAUUGCCUACACCUUUAUGCUGAGCCGACGGUGUAGGGAGUUAUAAUAUAUAAUGCCAUUAAACCGAAUCGCAUAACAUAAUAAUGUCCAUUAACAAUUUUUAACAUAGACUCGGAAUUAGUAAUUGCUACAGGUAGGGGUAAACGGUUGAAAAGCGGUGCCGUAAGUUCCCAUCGAAAACCUGUGGGCUGCCAGAGCCCGCCGUGUAUUCAAAACGGACUGACGAGGAUAUUGCGUACCCAUUAACUGCAAUACUGAUACGUUUGGCUCUAGUGUAU